ensembl:lncRNA
CUUAUUCUGAUUGGCAGGUUAAAAAAAAAACUCUGGGUUCAGACCACACUGUUUUAUCAGUUUGCAGUUUGUGGUUGUAGCUACAGUAUUUAUACCACUGUGCCAACCAUUUUGAGCUUGUUGGAACUAUGGGAAGUCUUUCAAGUUGCAACCGAAGAAAGAAUAAACCUGAAAACGCUGAUAAUGACCAUCAGAGAGAAACAGCAGACACAAAGACAGAAGAUGUCCUCUAUGCCUCCAUUGACCACAGUGACAUCAGUCCAAACAAACCUGUUCGAGACGUGGAUGACAACGAUUGUGAUUAUGCUGUUGUAAUGCUUCCUCAAAACAUAGACUCGGCCAAGCACAAAAGCAACGAGGAUUGUUCAGAUGAUUAUGUACUCAUGGGCUGAGCACUGAGAUGCUCCUGUGGCUGAAAUUUGCACAUUCAGCUGGAAUGGACACCUAAGAUACAUAAGCACAACUUUAACAGCUUGUUAACUUUGUAUAGGUUGCAAUGAAAUUCAGCUUUUUAAAAUUUGUAUUUAUUUGUUUUAUUUUUCUUUUCUUCUCUUUUUGAAUAAUUAUUUCAUUUCUGGUCUGUUUUUGUUACUUUAUGUUUACAGCAUUAAGUUAAAUAUGUUAAAGACUUGAUAUUUUGAAGCAUAAUAAGUAAUUACAACCUUUACAUGCACAGUGAAUAAAAGUGCAAUU